rnacentral:rRNA from 1 species
UGGGGAAUAUUGCACAAUGGGCGCAAGCCUGAUGCAGCCAUGCCGCGUGUAUGAAGAAGGCAUUCGGGUUGUAAAGUACUUUCAGCGGGGAGGAAGGCGAUAAGGUUAAUAACCUUGUCGAUUGACGUUACCCGCAGAAGAAGCACCGGCUAACUCCGUGCCAGCAGCCGCGGUAAUACGGAGGGUGCAAGCGUUAAUCGGAAUUACUGGGCGUAAAGCGCACGCAGGCGGUCUGUCAAGUCGGAUGUGAAAUCCCCGGGCUCAACCUGGGAACUGCAUUCGAAACUGGCAGGCUAGAGUCUUGUAGAGGGGGGUAGAAUUCCAGGUGUAGCGGUGAAAUGCGUAGAGAUCUGGAGGAAUACCGGUGGCGAAGGCGGCCCCCUGGACAAAGACUGACGCUCAGGUGCGAAAGCGUGGGGAUCAAACA